AGCUUCCGGAGUAGCUGGGACUACAGGCGCCCGCCACCUCGCCCGGCUAAUUGUUUGUAUUUUUAGUAGAGACGGGGUUUCACUGUGUUAGCCAGGAUGGUCUCCAUCUCCUGACCUCGUGAUCCGCCCGCCUCGGCCUCCCAAAGUGCUGGGAUUACAGGCGUGAGCCACCGCGCCUGGCCCCUCCUUUACUUCUUGGCACCUUUAGAAGAUUCUGACUGCUGUUCACUUAAGUGGGAACAGCACUGCGUGCACAAUGCUCACUGUGCAUCUGCCCGUGUUCCGAAUCACAUCCAAUAUGACUUCCUGGCAGCGGGUUGGCGUCUGCGUAUUGUUACUGCAGUGGUUGUCUACCUGAGCCUUGUCUACUGUGAGCUGGAACACCUACCUCCCCCUCUGGAGAGCAGGAAUUGGAGAGGGAAGAGAGAAGCCCCUCCCAUUCGCUUCUACUGGGGCUUGUUAGGCCAUCGCCUUGGGGGCCGGCUGAUCAGCGGCAGCCAGCAGCCGGCGGCUUCGGCAGGCAGGAACAAGGACAGCCUGUGGCUACUGCAGCCCCACUGCCCGGCCAUGCUUCAUGAUGGGGGAGAGUGCCUUGGGAGGAAUAUACAGGCAAAUCAUGACUCCCAGAGGCCUAUGGACUGGAGCUAUUAACAUCCUGCAGAUGGGAGCCACUCUCUCACUGUGAUCACCAAGCCCCCUGGCUGAGAGAAAACCCCGAAGCAGUUAAGAUACCAGGAAAGGAAGACUUGAAAAUUGGUUAGUGAAGAUUCUGAGUAUUUCCUGGUGCGUCUGGGAAUUUUGUUUGUUUUUUGUGGUGAUAUUUCUUUCUCUCUGUAUGUCUCUGUCUCUCUGUCUCUAUCUGCAUCUCUGCCCUUGUUAGAAGGGACUAAUUAGAAUGGCACAAACACGUUAGAAUUGGAGAUCAUUGUUGCAAAGGCCCUUAGGAAGAGGGGGGCAGUUUUGGUCCAUUCUGAAGGCUAUCAAGGCGGUUUCCAGCUUGCUCUUGGCACGAAAAGGAAUAACCAGGGCCAUUUUAAUGCCAUGGGCAGGGAAAGCAUGAUGCAAAGCUUUUGGAGGGGCCACCGGGUAACAACAGGAGAGCACCAGAACUCACGGAGAGAGCAGAGGUUGAGGAAGCCUGGCGCCCCAGCGACAAAGCAGUGUCCCCGACAAAAGAAAGAUUCAAUCUUGGAAACAGAAACAUGAAGUGAAUGUUUAAUACCAUGGUCCAAGAAGAUGGCAUUUUCUGUGACUGGAACAAUGCAGAAUUAAUGUGUAUCUGCAAGAAAUAUCAUUAAGAUUAAGUAUUCUUCAGAGAGAUUGGAGAAUCGGGGAAUUCAAGUGCGUUUGUUGGCUUGAGCCAGCCCUCCGCUACCUGACCCAUCUGCAGGCAGAAAGGGCAUCCACCAAGUGAGUCUUUCUCAGUAGAGGAGGCAGUGUGCUGUUAUAUGCUGAUGCAGCUCCUUGUCUUGGACUCAUAACUGACAGAACAGCAUGUGGACCUCACCGCUCCUUGGACUUCGAGUGGCGCUACUCUAACGCUGAGUCCUGACCUGGAUCCCUGUUUGCUUGCCUAGACCUAAGGCGGUGGUGCAGACCUUCCCCCACCCCACAUACCAUCGCCUUCUGGAAUGUGGCUUUGUGGAACUGAGGCUGAGACAAUCACAGUGCCCCAUUCUUCUGGUCAUGUGACAGGUCUGGACCUGGUCAUGUGGCAAAGUCGAAUCUAAGUCACAUCAAAGCAGGGAGAGUUAAAGCAAAUCUUUUCUCUCUUGUUGUGGAGCUGGAAUAUGAGCCCAGAAGCUUCCAGAACACAUGGUCCUGCCCUCAUAAAGAAGCUCAAGUGAGGGAACAAAAUCGACUUAGGUAGCAGCGAGCAUGGAUGGGGCCUGGCUACAUCAAGUUCUCAGAUCCUGUUGUCCCCACCCACCCCCUGUAACUUGCCAAUUUUAUCCAUCAAGCAUCCUCUCCUCUCUCCCAACUUGUCUGAGUUCUGUUUCUGUCAUUGUCACCAAGAGAGCUUUGAUGAGUAAGAAAUCCCAACAUUCCACGGGAGUCUUGGUGGUUUAAAUUUUUAAGUGAGUCCUCACUUGUUAAAGUCUUAUUCCUGUUAGAGGGCACUUCCAUAGUCCAGAAGGUGGGGAAUUCCUAUAGGUGACCUGUGGUCUCUCUAAGCAAUUUGACCAGGACUAUUUAAUAAAAUAUUUUAAAAAUGGUUCCUUUUAAUUAUUCAUUUUCAAAUGUAUAUUUGUUCUUGGCAAACAAGAGAUGAUUUGCGUUAAUCAGUGAUCUUUAAGCAAAUUCCUUGCAAUACUUUAUCUCCAUAUAAACUCGAAGCUUCUUAAAUGAAAUAGUACCUGUGUAUUUCAUAUGGCUUCCUCUUUUAUAAAUAAAAUGAAUGGACUUGGGACCAAAACAGAAUUUUUUUUUUCGGGAACUAUAGGACUGGAAUCUUUUUAUCCAAGGCAGUUGGAUCCCACAGUACAUUUUCACUGUAACAGACAAUGAGGUUGAGUCAAUAAAUAAAUAAAUAAAGUCACCAACAUGUCCAAAAGCCUCCAUUUAAAACUCAAAGCCAGUGGUUUUGGGUUUCACCUUUUCCUUUAAAAUUAAAUUCCCUGAAACCAUAUUUUAAAAAUGCUAUCUGAAUGGGAACCGCCAAACUGGGAAACUUUAAGUUUAAAAAUAGAACUGCAUCUGAAUUAUCUUAUAGAAAUUUGUCUUCUAACCAGCCAUCAGUAACUGUAAGCAUGCUUCAUAGAUCUACAUAUUUCAGCACUUUUUACAUUCUGAAAGAAUCUUGCUUAGAUACGAAGGUUAACUGGACACCUUUUUCUGCAUUCACCUUUAAUACUGGAUGCCCCCUUUAUCUGCACUCCCAAGCUGGGAAGCCCCAGAGUGGGCUCUUGGCCCCUUGCGGCCAACUGAAGUUCUCCAUCUCUGCAGCCUCCGUGAUCACCUUAAGAAUAGGCUCGCGACCUCCUUUGGGCCACACAGAGUCCUUCUCAGGGCUUGCGCUGGAGCUCUCAGGAGGGAUGCUCGCUUUCUCACUGAUCAGGAACUCUAAGGACCAAAGCCUGGAGUGAGGAUGUGAUCUGCUUGCAAGCGAAGGAGGCAGGAGGCAGCCGGACUCGAGGGCACACAUGACCUGGCAGGGCUGAACCUCAGGCUCCGGUGAGGCUGGCUCCUGACUGCCCCUCUGGACUUUCUCAGUUAUUUCAGGCCAUGGAUUAUCUUUAGUGCUUAAGCUAGUUUGAGUUGUGUUUCUGCCACUCAUAAUUCAGAGAAUCCUGGUGGCUUCAGUGUGAUCAGGAAGACAUUGGGAGCCAUUUUAGUUUUUACUUAACUUUUCCAAACUUGCUAGACAGGCUGAUUAUGGGUCUGUGCUAGUCUGGGAACCUGUGUUUGCUCUCUUAAGCCAUGGGUCUUAGACUCAUUUCCUGUUGCAAACAGGAUGCACUGCACAUUUUUACUGUGUUUUUGCUGCCCAUAAGUGGGAGGCAGAUUCGAAUGAUAGAAUUGGAAAGGUUCCAAAAGCACCAGCCAUGGUAGGGACCCUGAAGAUUGCAAGAUAAACAAAAGCAUUCAGAACUUGUGAUGGGAGUGUGAGAGGAUUGAGCGUUGAAGUCAGCCUAACAGAGGCUGUCGUUUACCCGGUGAAAUCCUCAAGUUACAAACAGCUGCUGUGCAAUUGGAAGUCACAGUCUUCAGUUAGGCUUGAUUUGUCAUUUGGUUUAUAAAUAAGCUUUCAUUUUGUCUUUUUUUUUUUUUUUUUUUGGUCUGGCAAUGUGGUAUCUCUUCCUUGCAGGAUUUGGGAAGCUGGGAAUAUGUGUGACCCACACUACCUGAGGGUGAUAGACUUUGACAGUGUCUCCAGCAUUUUCAUGUUGAAAUCUGCUUUAUCCUAAUUUCCAGUCUUGGUCUUGUCUGUCACAGGCUGGGGAGAAGAGCACCGUCCAGAGAAGGACCCAAUAAGGGACAUUUCCACCUUGCUUAGUGGGUUGAGGGCUGGGCUUUGGGUUUGAGAUGUGAAGAGAAAGAAGCUACGUGGAAGAGAAAGGAUGGAGGUACAAGGACGCCCUCCAGCCGGCUACACUUCUGAAACUAAAACAUACAAAACUCAGUGGCUUUUCCUCAACUCCUAUGAUGGAUGUGCAAGGACGCCCUCCAGCUGGCUGCAUUUCUGAUGCUAAAAAUACAAAACUCAGCAGCUUUGCCCAUACUCCUAUGAUGCCUG
rnacentral:lncRNA from 1 species